rnacentral:rRNA from 1 species
CUCGAAUUUAAAAGAGCUAGGUUAAAAUAUAUUUUAUUGUGUCAAAACUAUUUAAAAUUUUAAUCUUGAAGUUAUAUGCUAUUCAUUUUUAAAUAUAUCUGGUUUUUAAAGAAACAAAUUUAAUUUGAUUUAUUUUAAUAUUAAAAUUUUCUUUUUUUUUUGUUAUUAUAAUUUAAUUGAUUUUGGGAUUAGCUAAAAUCAAUAUUUCUAUUAAGGAUUAAUUUUUUUAGAUUAGUAGGAUUAGAAAUUUUCAUUUUUAUAAUUAUGUUAUAAUUUUUCUAGGUUUAUUAAUAUUUAUAUUUUUAUGGGUUUUUUAUUUAAAUUUUUAUUAUAAUUUAAAUUUUAAAGUAAUAAUGAUUGAAUUAGUAAAAUUAAUUUUAUAAUUAUUUUUUUUUGUAAAAUAAUUAUUAGGAAUUCGGCAAUUAGUUUUUCACCUGUUUAAUAAAAACAUGUCUUCUUGAUUAUAAUUUGAAGUCUGACCUGCUCUAUGAUUUUUAAAUGGCCGCAGUAUUUUGACUGUGCUAAGGUAGCAUAAUAAUUAGUUUCUUAAUUAGAAGCUUGUAUGAAUGGUUUGAUGAGAAAACUGCUUUCUUAUAAUUAAUUUUUUGAAUUUUAUCUUUAAGUUAAAAAGCUUAAAUUUAUUUAGGGGACGAGAAGACCCUUUAGAAUUUUAUAUAAUUUAAAGUUAAUUUUUUUUGGAAUUAAGAUAAUUAAUUUAAAAUUGUAUUUAGUUGGGGUGACUGAAAAAUUUAGUUAACUUUUUUUAUUUUUUACAUUAUAAAAGGUUUUAUGAUCCGUUAAACGAUUAUAAGAAAAAAUUACCUAAGGGAUAACAGCGUUAUAAUUUUUUAGAGUUCUUAUCGAAAAAAUUGAUUGCGACCUCGAUGUUGGAUUAGAAUUUCUUCUAGGUGCAGAAGCUUAGGGAGAGGGUCUGUUCGACCUUUAAAUUUCUACAUGAUCUGAGUUUAAACCGGCGUGAGCCAGGUUGGUUUCUAUCUUUAAAUUAUUUUAAUAUUUUAGUACGAAAGGAUUGGGUAUU